CAAUAGCGUAUAUUAAAGUUGUUGCGGUAAAAAAGCUCGUAGUUGGAUUUCUACCGAAGAUAGCCGGUCGGGUCUUCGACCUUGUAUCUGGUUUUGUCUUUGGUAUCCUCAUAGGGAACGUUUCUGCGCUUUAUUGCGUGGUGCGGUAUCUAUGACUUUUACUUUGAGGAAAUUAGAGUGUUCACGGCAGGCAAACGCCUUGAAUAUAUUAGCAUGGAAUAAUAACAUAGGAUCUUCGUCCUAUUUUGUUGGUUUCUAGGGCUAAGAUAAUGAUUAAUAGGGAUAAUUGGGGGCAUCUGUAUCAACGCGUCAGAGGUGGAAUUCUUGGAUUGCGUUGCGACAAACUACUGCGAAAGCAUUUACCAAGGAUGUUUUCAUUGA
rnacentral:rRNA from 1 species